rnacentral:misc_RNA from 1 species
GAUGAAGAACGUAGCGAAAUGCGAUACUUGGUGUGAAUUGCAGAAUCCCGUGAACCAUCGAGUCUUUGAACGCAAGUUGCGCCCGAAGCCACUAGGCCGAGGGCACGCCUGCCUGGGCGUCACACGCCGUUGCCCCCCCAUCUACUCCUUCGGGAUUGCGGGGGGGCGGAUGAUGGCCUCCCGUGCGCCUAGCCGCGCGGUUGGCAUAAAUACCAAGUCCUCGGCGACGCACGCCACGACAAUCGGUGGUUGCGAAACCUCGGUUGCCCGUCGUGUGCGUUCGUCGCGCAUCGAGGGCUCGAAAAAAUGCUCGGCUCCGGCUGGGCUUUCAACGCGACCCCAGGUCAGGCGGGGUUACCAGCUGAAUUUAAGCAUAUCAAUAAGCGGAGGA